GUGGGGAAUAUUGGACAAUGGGCGCAAGCCUGAUCCAGCCAUGCCGCGUGAGUGAUGAAGGCCUUAGGGUUGUAAAGCUCUUUCAGUAGGGAAGAUAAUGACGGUACCUACAGAAGAAGCCCCGGCUAACUUCGUGCCAGCAGCCGCGGUAAUACGAAGGGGGCUAGCGUUGUUCGGAUUUACUGGGCGUAAAGCGCACGUAGGCGGAUUGGUCAGUUAGAGGUGAAAUCCCGAAGCUCAACUUCGGAACUGCCUUUAAUACUGCCAGUCUCGAGUCCGGAAGAGGUGAGUGGAACUCCUAGUGUAGAGGUGGAAUUCGUAGAUAUUAGGAAGAACACCAGUGGCGAAGGCGGCUCACUGGUCCGGUACUGACGCUGAGGUGCGAAAGCGUGGGGAGCAAACAGGAUUAGAAACCCGAGUAGUCC
rnacentral:rRNA from 1 species